rnacentral:lncRNA from 1 species
CCGUCAAUGAAUUAGAAAUUUAGUUAGUCCAGUACCAAAGCACAGUGAGUUGCUUGCAAGUCACUGAAGUGAUCUCAGAUCUAAAGGACACUUAUACCUAUAUCCCAUCAGAGACAUUCUCGACAACAGAAUGCUCUGGAGUUGGUCACGUUCAAUGAUGAUGUACCCUUACAUCUCACCUGUAUGCCAUACCAGUGUCUCCACACUCCUUGGUUAAGAGGACAACCAACCUAUAUGGCCUACAGUGACCUAUGCUCGAUAGAAGCUGUCGUCCUUAUUAACAGCCUAUCAUUUGGUCG